UACUGAUUGCUGCGCUUGUUUUGUCUGAUGGUUGCUUCGUCCUGCCGUGAGUUGAACACGCAGUCAGCUUUCGAGCUCUACUGAUGUAGUGAAAGUUCGUGACGGGCUUCCCACUUCACAUUUAUUGAGUAGCAAGUAGCGCUGAUCGAAUUUCUUCUGUGGUGUUUAGCGACUACAAGGACAUGCUACGGCAAGGUAUGUGUUCAGCUUUGGGGGAGAAUGGUUAGAGUUCCCGGAACGAAUCAAGCAGUUUGGCUGUAGACGGAGACUCGUAAACCACCGAUUUGACUUGAAGCGACUAUGCAUCGAUAUUGGGUGUGUGCUCUUCCAUCUGAUUAAGCGGGUAGGCAACACGGCACUGUUGUGUAGUUGCUAUAUCUACUGUUGACGAA